UUUAGACGCAGCCAUAAGUUUCUGUGUCCAACUUUAAUCAUUCGUCUUAUUUAACUUUUUUAAUAUUAGUAUUUUUUGUUGUUAUUAGAUGAUAAAACAUAAAUAGUACUUUAUGGGUGAUUUUUUUAAUUUUUUUUAAAUAAGACAAAUGAUUAAAGUUGGACACGAAAACUCAUAGCUGCGCUUAAA
rfam:Oryza glumipatula chromosome 12, whole genome shotgun sequence.